rnacentral:lncRNA from 1 species
GGUUUUCCCGCGACCUUUACCCUGGUGGGGGGGUGUUAGGGGCAGUGGGAAAGCAGCUUCGUGCCGGUAUGGCCGUAUAGGGUUAGGAUCGGAUUCCUCAGCGGCUUGGGAGCAAUUCUAAGCGGCUUCCAGGCCCGCCAGCCGCAGCUGGAGGAGAGAGAAUCCACGCUACGAGACGUGUCACCGUGGACAACCUAGUGGCGCGGACCCGAUCUGGAGGGGGCGCGGAAUUGCAAGUGGAGAAGGACAAUUCGAGCGUUCUCGACUUCGGGUUUCAACCCGUGUCCAGUGGGAAUGCUAGUGCUCUAUCUGUCAGAGGCAAGAAGGCAAAGGCAUUUGUUUGAGGCUCUGCGGCGUGGUAGGCAAAGUGAGCAUGCCCGCACGUCUUCUCCCGACCCGUGCUGAACAGUCUAAGUAGCAAGGAAGAAAUUCCCCUGCAAUGAAGCAGGUUCAGCGUUGAUUGCUGUCCGUCCAGCCCAAGUGAACAAAGCUUCCUCUUCCAGAUGUCUUUGUUUCUCUCCUCCCCAACUCAGCCCAGCCAGAGGAGCAUCCCAUAAGGACUCACCCUCCAGCCUUCUGCUCUUCUCUGUUAUGUAACACGGGGAGGUUGAUUCCUUCAGGCUGCAAAUCCAGACCCCGGGACAUCAGAUUUUGACCCAGAGGGAGUCCUAGCAGGAGACUGGGGGUAAGUGGGCUCAUCCAUCCACCACACCUCUGUGGGCACCGGCUCAGGGCCAGACGCUGCAGGAGGCACGGGGCAAGAAGUGAUCUUGUCUAAGCAGCAGAGGGAAAAGCCUCGGGGUGUGCCUGUCUCUGCCGAGACGUCCCCAAACUCAGCCACACUUAGAGGCCAGUCCCGCCAUCGCCUGGGCCUCCUUCGUCCUCCAGAGGCAACUAAAGGUGAGAUGCAGGACGCCUGGAAUGUCCCUUUCACUGUCCACUGCACGAGUGGGUUGGGGGUGCUUCUGGGUGGUGGCAGAAAUGCCCGGUGGCUCUCGCCUCCUCCCAGCGUUGCUCAGGCUCAGGAGAGCCCAGCUUCCACCACCUGCGUUUUACUCUCUCCCCUUCUCUUCCCCCGAGCCUUUCCUUAGAAGCAGGGAGAAUCUUUUCCAGCAUAUUUCCUUCAGCAAAAUCCAGGGGUGGAUUAUCCAUACAAGCUAAUCACGGGAGUUCCCAUCGUGGCUCAGAGGAAACGAAUCUGACCAGUAUCCAUGAGGACGCAGGUUUGAUCCCUGGCAUUGCUCAGCAGGUUAAGGAUCUGGCAUUGCCAUGAGCUGUGUUGUGGGUCACAUUCGAAGCUUGGAUCUGGCGUUGCUAUGGCUGUGGUGUAGGCCAGCGGCUACAGCUCCGAUUCGACCCCUAGCCUGGGAACCUUCCUAUGCCGCAGGUGCAGCC